UGAGCAAGACUAAAACUAGAGAGUGACGUAUAAGGUGUGUGAGUGUUAAGGGAUGUAGGGAAGGGAAUGAAAGACUUCUACAGAUAAAUAAAUGUGUCUGCAGAGAUACUCACAU